rnacentral:snRNA from 1 species
AUACCAUUCUCGGCCUUUUAGUUAAGAUCAAGUGUAAUAUCUAUUCUUAUUAGUGUAAUAUCACCUGAGCCUACGGGUUCAAGAGGUAAGCUUAUAUGUUUGCCCUGAUAUUAAUUGUUUAAAGGGGAGAGACCCAUG